rnacentral:piRNA from 1 species
UGGCAUGGUGGUUGUGACUGAGAGCUGC